UACGGAAGGCAGCAGUGGGGAAUAUUGCACAAUGGGCGAAAGCCUGAUGCAGCUAUGCCGCGUGUAUGAAGAAGGCCUUAGGGUUGUAAAGUACUUUCAUCGGGGAGGAAAAACAAAACUAAUAAUUUUAUUUCUUGACGUUACCCGAAAAAGAAGCACCGGCUAACUCCGUGCCAGCAGCCGCGGUAAUACGGAGGGUGCUAGCGUUAAUCAGAAUUACUGGGCGUAAAGAGCACGUAGGUGGUUUUUUUAAGUCAGAUGUGAAAUCCCUGGGCUUAACCUAGGAACUGCAUUUUGAAAACUGAAAUACUAGAGUAUCGUAGAGGGAGGUAGAAUUCUAGGUGUAGCGGUGAAAUGCGUAGAUAUCUGGAGGAAUACCUGUGGCGAAAGCGGCCUCCUAAAACGAAAUACUGACACUGAGGUGCGAAAAGCGUGGGGAGCAAAACAGGAUUAGAUACC
rnacentral:rRNA from 1 species